rnacentral:rRNA from 1 species
AUAAGGGCACAGGGCGGAUGCCUUGGCACUAAGAGCCGAAGAAAGACGUGAUAAGCUGCGAUAAGCUUCGGGGAGGAGCAAAUAUCCUUUGAUCCGGAGAUCUCUGAAUGGGGAAACCCGGCAGAGCACACCUCUGUCAUCCAUACGCCAAUCCAUAACGUAUGGAAGGGAACCCGGGGAACUGAAACAUCUAAGUACCCGGAGGAAAAGAAAGAAAACUCGAUUCUGCAAGUAGCGGCGAGCGAACGCGGAAGAGCCUAAACCGGAAUGCGNAGCAGGUACGAAAGUAGGGCUUAGUGAUCCGGUGGUAUUAAGUGGGAAUGCCAUCGCUCAACGGAUAAAAGCUACCCUGGGGAUAACAGGCUUAUCACUCCCAAGAGUUCACAUCGACGGAGUGGUUUGGCACCUCGAUGUCGGCUCAUCGCAUCCUGGGGCUGUAGUAGGUCCCAAGGGUUGGGCUGUUCGCCCAUUAAAGCGGUACGCGAGCUGGGUUCAGAACGUCGUGAGACAGUUCGGUCCCUAUCCGGCGUGGGCGUAGGAUAUCUGAGAGGAGCUGUCCUUAGUACGAGAGGACCGGGAUGGACGGACCGCUGGUGUACCGGUUAGACUGCCAAGUCUACGGCCGGGUAGCCAAGUCCGGAAGGGAUAAACGCUGAAGGCAUCUAAGCGUGAAGCCCCCCUCAAGAUGAGAUGUCCCAUUCGAAAGAAGUAAACCCCCUUGAAGACGACGAGGUAGAUAGGGCAGGGGUGGAAGUGCAGUAAUGCACGGAGCUGACUGUUACUAAUAGGGUGAGGGCUUGACCAA